rnacentral:tRNA from 1 species
GGGGAUGUAGCUCAGCAGCAUAGUGCCUGCCUGACAAGCACGAGGCCCCGAGUUCAAUUCCUGGUCCCCCCC